GCUUCCGAGGAGCGUUGCGACGGGCUGAAAAACGCCCGCCAGGCUCGGCAGCCUUCAAUCCGGACGGUUCGAAGGCAUCGUAAAAAGCCCGCUGAGCCACCGCAUCGAACGGCGCUCACGUCAA
rnacentral:ncRNA from 2 species